UACGGGGGGAGCAAGCGUUGUUCGGAUUUACUGGGCGUAAAGGGCGCGUAGGCGGUCAGCACAAGUCAGUUGUGAAAUCUCCGGGCUUAACCCGGAAAGGUCAACUGAUACUGUGCGACUAGAGUGCGGAAGGGGCAACUGGAAUUCUCGGUGUAGCGGUGAAAUGCGUAGAUAUCGGGAGGAACACCUGCGGUGUAGACGGCUUACUGGACCAUAACUGACGCUGAGGCACGAAAGCGUGGGUAGCAAACAGG
rnacentral:rRNA from 1 species